GGACUGCACUAGAGACCUGAAUCCUUGAAAGGUGGCCAUCUGACUCCGGUGUCACUUUGAAGCAGCAAAUGAUCAGGAAUCGAGUAAAAGUAAAAGGUAAAUGCUAGAUCUUUGAAAACCUGAAAUACUGUCUUUGGAAAUAUUUGAAAUCUCUGGUAGCAGAUCAGGAAGGCUGUACAGCCAUGGUGCUCUUCAAGUAUAUGUACCUGCAGCUGUGCACAACCUGUGAGACCUGAUGGCUGCCAGCUCCCCUGCCCAGGUAGGGACACUGACAACCUACUGAAGAGUUUACAAGGACAGAAGCUAAUCCAGUGCUGACUUUUGCUUUCACAGGUAGGAACCCAGAUUCUCAUUCUGGAGGGCAGCUGUGACAUCCUUCUGGAGAAAGGUCUCCAAUACCAGGUCCCUGCCAUUCAAUUACCCAAGAAUUUCAGGGAUCUGUCCUUAAGUCUCGGGGCUUAGUGGCUACAGGAUCCCAUCUAGAUUUGUCAUGUGCUACAAAUGAAGAGAGAUAUGUUGGUAAUGGAGAGCCAGUAGUCUUUAGAUAGUCCUGUGUCUCUUACCAUGCCAAGUUAAUUUUCCCCUUCCCAUACCU